rnacentral:misc_RNA from 1 species
AAGUCGUAACAAGGUUUCCGUAGGUGAACCUGCGGAAGGAUCAUUAUUGAAUAAACUUGAACAGGCUGCUGCUGGCCUCCCCUUGGGGGUGCAUGUGCACGCUUGUCAUCUUUAUCUCUCCUGCUGUGCACAUAUUGUAGACCCUGGGAGUUGGAUUAUUUAAGUAUAGAUUGAGAAUUGCUGUGCUUUCCAAGUCAGCUUUGUCUUGCAUUUCCCAGGUCUAUGUUUGUUUUCACAAUCUCUGUAUAAUGUUGGAAUGUACCUAUAAAAAGUUAUAUAUACUAUAUACAACUUUCAGCAACGGAUCUCUUGGCUCUC